GAGAGUAUAGCUCAAGUGGUAGAGCACAUGCUUAGCAUGCAUGAGGUCCUGGGUUCAAUCCCCAGUACCUUCU
rnacentral:tRNA from 1 species